GACCAAAGAAGCCGUCAGCGCAAAGGGCCUAUUUACAAAGUUCUAACGGCGAUGGUAUUUUGAGGGCGUGUGAUGCUGCCUGCGUGGCCUGACUGACUGACUGAUGAAGGGGACUUAAGAGGAUAAAAGUCAAGGUUACUUCCCCGCCUACACGUUGACACCUACGACCAAGCCACAGGAGCGAGGUCUCGGAUAGCACGGCCCCGCAGAAGACUAGUGCUCAAGCCUGCGUCCACUGCGAGAAUAGAACGCUGGUGCCCCUCUCUGCAAGAGGACUUAUUAUCUUCUUUCCACUCACCUUGCUGCCGUGUUCACAUC